AGUUUGAGAAAAAAAAUAUAGAAAUUAAUCAGUAAGUACAAUAUCAUUAUGUACAAUAUUACAUCAAUCAAACUAAAGAUAACCUGAGGUACCUAUUACUACAACUUUCAUGCUAUAAACAAUUUUCCUUGUGUGUCACAUGUGGAGCAGAUUAACAGUAACUGAUUUUUCUAGUAAGUUUCAUUCCUUCAUUGUUGUAAUUCAGCUUUCAUGGUGCAGUAGAUAAUUAUAUAACCAUAACUAGACAGUCUAGAGUAACAUGCUAUUAGGAGAAUGACAGUUCAUAACAGAAACAGCAUUAAAUAAGAAUUAUUAUUUUGCAGACACAAAGCAAUGAGGAGCAGCCUGGAGCAACACAUUUGAUCUUCAGUGGCUUUACAAAGGAGCAAGUGAUGGCAGAACUGAAGCCAUAUGCCUCAAAAGAGAAAGGUACAGCAAAGCUCUUCAGAAUGCUAUUCAAUAUAGAAGAGAUUAAAGGCCGCUCAUUGUUUGGUAUGAGGAAAGGGAACAGAGAGUCUGACGCCAGACCUUCUUGUGCAGACAAAGCAAAACUUAAGUUCUUGGAAGAUUGUGCGCUCGAAAAGUUGCCGACAACCUAAAGGACUGAACUCAAACCGUCCAGGAAUAGCAAGAUUAACUGAAAAAAUAAAUGGACUAAUGUUUUGCUAUUUU